rnacentral:rRNA from 1 species
UACGGAGGGGGCUAGCGUUGUUCGGAAUUACUGGGCGUAAAGCGCGCGCAGGCGGUCCUUUAAGUCUGAUGUGAAAGCCCACGGCUCAACCGUGGAGGGUCAUUGGAAACUGGGGGACUUGAGUACAGAAGAGAAGAGUGGAAUUCCACGUGUAGCGGUGAAAUGCGUAGAGAUGUGGAGGAACACCAGUGGCGAAGGCGGCCUGCUGGGCUGUUGCUGACGCUGAGGCGCGACAGCGUGGGGAGCAAACAGG